UGGGUCUCCAUUAAAUGUAUCCAAUGGUAAUUUGCUCUACACCGCAACAACGUUUGGAUCAACUGCUUCACUUGUCUGUGAUAGAGGAUAUGAUGGAAACGGUACAAUAAGCUGCCUUGACACUGGCAGUUGGGAAACACCACCAAUAUGUUCUGUAAAAGAUUGUGGGUCUCCAUUAAAUGUAUCCAAUGGUAAUUUGCUCUACACCGCAACAACGUUUGGAUCAACUGCUUCACUUGUCUGUGAUAGAGGAUAUGAUGGAAACGGUACAAUAAGCUGCCUUGACACUGGCAGUUGGGAAACACCACCAAUAUGUUCUGUAAAAGAUUGCGGGUCUCCAUUAAAUGUAUCCAAUGGUAAUUUGCUCUACACCGCAACAACGUUUGGAUCAACUGCUUCACUUGUCUGUGAUAGAGGAUAUGAUGGAAACGGUACAAUUAGCUGCCUUGACACUGGCAGUUGGGAAACAUCACCAAUAUGUUCUG